AUACGUAGGUGGCAAGCGUUGUCCGGAAUAACUGGGCGUAAAGCGCAUGUAGACGGCAUGAUAAGCCAAAUGUGAAAUGUAGGGGCUCAACCCCUGCACUGCGAUUGGAACUGUCAAGCUUGAGUGCAGGAGAGGCAAAUGGAAUUCCCAGUGUAGCAGUGAAAUGCGUAGAGAUUGGGAGGAACACCAGUGGCGAAGGCGAUUUGCUGGACUGCAACUGACGUUGAGAUGCGAAAGCUAGGGGAGCAAACGGGAUUAGAUACCCCGGUAGUCCUAGCCGUAAACGAUGGAUACUAGGUGUAGAGGGUAUCGACCCCUUCUGUGCCGCAGCGAACGCAAUAAGUAUCCCGCCUGGGGAGUACGGUCGCAAGACUGAAACUCAAAGGAAUUGACGGG
rnacentral:rRNA from 1 species